UCACACACGCGGCAUUGCUGGAUCAGGCUUUCGCCCAUUGUCCAAAAUUCCCCACUGCUGCCUCCCGUAGGAGUCUGGGCCGUGUCUCAGUCCCAGUGUGGCUGGUCGUCCUCUCAGACCAGCUACUGAUCGUCGCCUUGGUAGGCCUUUACCCCACCAACUAGCUAAUCAGCCAUCGGCCAACCCUAUAGCGCGAGGCCCGAAGGUCCCCCGCUUUCAUCCGUGGAUCGUAUGCGGUAUUAAUCCGGCUUUCGCCGGGCUU
rnacentral:rRNA from 1 species